rnacentral:lncRNA from 1 species
AGCAAUCUCGUAGGUUAUUUAAUUUAAUAUUUGUGAAUGCUUGAGAAUUCUAUCAUUAAAUCACAUGGCUCAGAAAUGAAAGUAAACGAUUUGCGAGCUAAUUAAUGACCGAAACGAAGAUUUGUGUAUAAACAAAUUGGUCAAUUCCUCCGACAAACAACCUCCCUUUCUAAAAUACAAAAACUCUGGCACUGGAUCUCGCCAAGAACAAGAUUUGGGAGGAAAAGUUAGUAUGGUUG